GUGUACGUACAAGCAGUGGGAGCACAGGUUUACCUGUGUGACUGCGUACCUUUUGUAUAAUGGGUCAGCGACUUAUAUUCUGUAGCAAGGUUAACCGAAUAGGGGAGCCGGAGGGAAACCGAGUCUUAAUUGGGCGUUAAGUUGCAGGGUAUAGACCCGAAACCCGGUGAUCUAGCCAUGGGCAGGUUGAAGGUUGGGUAACACUAACUGGAGGACCGAACCGACUAAUGUUGAAAAAUUAGCGGAUGACCUGUGGCUGGGGGUGAAAGGCCAAUCAAACCGGGAGAUAGCUGGUUCUCCCCGAAAGCUAUUUAGGUAGCGCCUCGUGAAUUCAUCUCCGGGGGUAGAGCACUGUUUCGGCUAGGGGGCCAUCCCGGCUUACCAACCCGAUGCAAACUGCGAAUACCGGAGAAUGUUAUCACGGGAGACACACGGCGGGUGCUAACGUCCGUCGUGAAGAGGGAAACAACCCAGACCGCCAGCUAAGGUCCCAAAGUCAUGGUUAAGUGGGAAACGAUGUGGGAAGGCCCAGACAGCCAGGAUGUUGGCUUAGAAGCAGCCAUCAUUUAAAGAAAGCGUAAUAGCUCACUGGUCGAGUCGGCCUGCGCGGAAGAUGUAACGGGGCUAAACCAUGCACCGAAGCUGCGGCAGCGAACGUAUCACUUAAAGCGAUUCAGCGGGUUACGAUUGACGGAGCGAAGCGACGUCAAAGCGUAUACAAAGUCGAGUCGGUUUAAGGAUACGUUCGUUGGGUAGGGGAGCGUUCUGUAAGCCUGCGAAGGUGGCCUGUGAGGGUUGCUGGAGGUAUCAGAAGUGCGAAUGCUGACAUAAGUAACGAUAAAGCGGGUGAAAAGCCCGCUCGCCGGAAGACCAAGGGUUCCUGUCCAACGUUAAUCGGGGCAGGGUGAGUCGACCCCUAAGGCGAGGCCGAAAGGCGUAGUCGAUGGGAAACGGGUUAAUAUUCCCGUACUUGGUGUUACUGCGAAGGGGGGACGGAGAAGGCUAUGUUGGCCGGGCGACGGUUGUCCCGGUUUAAGCGUGUAGGUGUGUGUUCCAGGUAAAUCCGGUUCACUUUAACAC
rnacentral:rRNA from 1 species